GUCCUACGGGCGGCUGCAGUGGGGAAUAUUGGACAAUGGGCGCAAGCCUGAUCCAGCAAUGCCGCGUGAGUGAUGAAGGCCUUAGGGUUGUAAAGCUCUUUCACCGGGGAAGAUAAUGACGGUACCCGGAGAAGAAGCCCCGGCUAACUCCGUGCCAGCAGCCGCGGUAAUACGGAGGGGGCUAGCGUUGUUCGGAAUUACUGGGCGUAAAGCGCGCGUAGGCGGCCUGACAAGUUGGAGGUGAAAGCCCGGAGCUCAACUUCGGAAUUGCCUUCAAGACUGUCUCGCUCGAGGCAGGGAGAGGAGAGCGGAAUACCCAGUGUAGAGGUGAAAUUCGUAGAUAUUGGGUGGAACACCGGUGGCGAAGGCGGCUCUCUGGCCCUGAUCUGACGCUAAGGCGCGAAAGCGUGGGGAGCAAACAGGAUUAGAUACCCCAGUAGUCUCA
rnacentral:rRNA from 1 species